rnacentral:lncRNA from 1 species
CUCUGAGCUAAGAUGUUCGUCUUUGAUGUAGUCUAAGGCUAUUGAAGUAUGUUCCGCAGUCAUAAUAGAUGAUAGCUUCUCCCUGUUGCACCUAUCUGUCUCUUUAUUGCUAUAAAAUAAGGGAAUCGCAUCUCUUGGUUCUUGACUGCCGUAAACUAUUCUAUUCCUAAGCAACUGAAUAUCUUCAGACGUCAUUUCGGCCGAUGCCAUGUUAUUUAGUGCGAUUGCAAAAGGUUGGUCAUCUUGCUGACGCAUAAUCUCUGUAAGUUCGAAAAACUUGAAGCUAUCCCAGAGACUAGAGCCAACCAUAGCACUGUAUGAUUUAAG